rnacentral:rRNA from 1 species
UACGAAGGGUGCAAGCGUUAAUCGGAAUUACUGGGCGUAAAGCGCGCGUAGGUGGUUCAGCAAGUUGGAUGUGAAAGCCCUGGGCGUCAACCUACGGGAACGUGCAUCCAAAAACUACUGAGCUAGAGUACGGUAGAGGGUAGUGGAAUUUCCUGUGUAGCGGUGAAAAUGCGUAGAUAUAGGAAGGAAACACCAGUGGCGAAAGGCGACUACCUGGACUGAUACUGACACUGAGGUGCGAAAAG